AAAAAGCUGCCAGGCAAGACAUUUGGAGUUUGAUGCAAUUUACUGAGAGCCUGCGCCGGCAAUAUGGAAAAGAGCCCUACUCCAUGGAAAUCCUGUUGAAAAAACUCUAUGUGAAGAGAAUGGCUGCGGAUUUGGGGAUUACCAGGAUAUAUUCAUCAGGAAAGAUAGUUGGCAUGAAAUCAAACAUGAGCAGGAAAGUUUUCAAGCUCAUAAUAGAUUCAGUGGCAUCUGACAUACACUGCAAUUCCCUUGUUUUUGAGAAUGGCCUAAUCAAGGUAAGAUGCAUGUUGUUCUCUUGCAAUUGCCAGAAGUGGUUCUGCUAGUGACGUACUUGAUAUGGUUUCCUUGAGUUAAUAAAAUCCGCGCAUGGUCUCCAAUGGGCUUGAAAAUGAGAAUAGUAUAGAUGAGGUUGACUGGCUGUCCUAUACUUGAGUCUGCACUAUUUGUCGCAUUUGAAGAAAGAAUAUCAGCCAAACUAUCACAUGGUCAAUUCUUUAUGAUCUCGUAUCUUGUUAGAAUAGGUGUUUGUUAGUACUGGCCGUAACUGUUGGAAAUUAUUUGAAUGGAUUUUUUUUGGGAUCUUACUGUUUUUGCUGAUGGUGUCAAUUAACCUUGAUAUUAACGUGCUUGCCAAUGUGAGUUUUUUUUUGGUUCUUUUGUACUCCUUUUUUACCCCUCCGAACACUGAACUUCUAAUGCUUGCUUCUUGCGCUCCAGGCUGAACUUCUGUUGGAGCUACCAAGAGAACAGUUGCUAAAUUGGAUUUUCCAGUGCUUAGCGGAACUCUAUGCUUCUCUGCCUGCCUUGAUCAAAUAUUAGUUUCUACGUCAAUGAUGCCCACCUUGGUACAACUACUUUUUGGAGGCAACUUGUACAGGAAAAAAGUAUUCCUCCCAUCUCGAGUGUUUUCUGGAAGGACUACAGCCUUGAAUCUUCACUGAAGCCACUUGCUCUGGACAAGUUAGAGAUUCAACCACUGAACAGGCUGUUAUGAUAUGUGUUAAGAGAAUAUAAGUAUUCUUGUAGAUAAUAAAUUAGUAAGGGUAUUCUUGUAAAUAGUUUGUUAGGUUUGUACUCCUAUAAAUACUAGUUGGUCACUCAUAAUACGGUGACUAGAUGUUUUUCCUCCCAAGAUACCUGUUGACAUGGUAUCAGAGCAAGAGUCCUAGGGUUCAGGUUAAACAUCUAGCAAAAGUACUGUUCACGCCGUUACUGUUCACGGCUAGGGAUGGCAAUGGGGGAUAUCAAUUAUAUGAAUAAUUAUAAAUGUCUACUAAUAGAAUUUAUUAAUUAGUUAUACUAAAUUUACUAAUACAUUUAUACUAAAUUUCUAAUUACACUUAAUAGAAUAACACUUUUUUCUCAAAAAAAGCACAAACGCAAUGAUGAAUUAGUGAUUGCAUUUGUACUAAAAGUGAAAAUUUGACUAUUUUAGUUAUAUUUAUUUCAUCAUAUUGGAUUGUAUUCAAAUAACUUCUGUUUGAUUGUUUUUAUGAGUUUCAAUUGUAAAAUUACAAUGAAUAAUAAUUUGGUGAUGUGUUGAUAUUUUAGUAUUUGAUUAUUUAUUAAAAUUUAAUUAUAAUAAAAUUAUAUAAUAAAAUUUUAUUAACCCUGCGGGUGCCCCCGCGGGGGAAGCGGGGCAAGGCGGGAGGGGGCGGGAGGCGGGGACGGGGGGGGACCGUGGGAACUAAUAGGCAACGGGGCGGGGACGGGGAGGGGUCCCCCGCCCCAACCCCGCCCCGUUGCCCGGGUCCCCCGCCCCAACCCCGCCCCGUUGCCAUCCCUAUUCACGGCACACUGUUCACGCCGGUACUGUUCACGGCGCACUGUUCACGCGUACUGUUCGUCUCGAGUUUUGACCCUGUCUUUGGUUUGACGUGCUAUUCGUCAUGGUUGAAAGGUUUGUUAAUGCGGUUACCACUGAUCAAAUUAAAUCGAGUUUUUCAGCACAUGAGUCCCAGAAGACUGUUACUAUAUCUGAGAAAGUUUAUGUUAAAUUCCUACAGUACCAAGUUACAAAUCACACAUCUCUUCCCUCUGCUUCGUUAGCACAAAAAGGUAAUGACUCAUGGAUUAUUGAUUCUGGGGCUACUGAUCAUAUGUCAGGUACCUCUAAAAUUUUUUCUAAUUUUCAAGAGUCUACUCCCUUUCCUCAUGUUACUUUAGCUGAUGGAUCUACCACUAAAGUUAAAGGACUAGGCACUGUAGAAAUUAAUCCAUCACUUUCGCUGUCUUCUGUUCUUUACGUACCCAAUUUGCCCUUUAAUUUAAUGUCUGUUAGUAAACUCAUUAAAUUUCUACAGUGUACAGUUACUUUUUCUCCUGAUUCUGUUGUCAUUCAAGAUUUGAAGACAAAGAGGACGAUUGGUGGAGGGCAUGAGCAUAAUGGUCUUUACUUUCUCAACUUCAAUGGUCCGAUAGCAUGUCCUGCUACUGUUUCCCCUCUUGAAAUUGACUGUCGUUUAGGUCAUCCGUCAUUACAAAAUUUGAAAAAGUUGGUUCAUACUUUGAGUCAAUUAUCUUCGUUAGAAUGUGAGUCUUGUCAGUUAGGAAAGCAUUAUCGUGUUUCUUUUGCUCCUAGAGUCAAUAAACGAGUUUCUGAACCCUUUUUGUUAGUUCAUUCUGAUGUUUGGGAUCCUAGUCGAGUCACUUCAAAGUUAGGUUUUAAAUAUUUUGUAGUCUUUGUUGAUGAUUUUUCCAGAGUUACAUGGCUUUAUUUAAUGAAAGAUCUUUCAGAAUUAUAUUCCAUUUUUUGUGCAUUUGUUACAAAAAUAAAGAAUCAAUUUGGUGUGCCUGUACGUAUAUUUCGCAGUUGUCGCACCCCAUUUUUUUGCGAUGGAAAAAGAAAGUGUUUAUAAAAAAUGUGAUUUAUUAAUAAUAAACGGAAAAGGACCAAGAAUGGGACUUAAAAAAAUGCGACAAUUUGGGUCCAAAAUUUAGUCUAAAAGGGUUUUGAAGAAAAAUUAGGAGUCGCCACUUGGUAUCGAGAUUGGGUGUACCAAGUCACCCAAAAAUAUUUUUAACAAAAUAAAAUAAAAUAAAACCCUUUUAGACAACUCCAGGUCUUUGAAAACAAGAGAAAAUGAGUUCGGGAGUCACGGUUGGAGAAAGGGAAGGCAAAGGUUCAAUCAACUCAAACCUAAGGCACCCUUUCAACCUAGUCUAAGCUAGUUGCGUGGUUUAGUCAAAAUUUUCUUAAUUUAACCCUUAAUUUAUCACAUUUGAAUGUUUUCUACAUGGAUGCAAAUCUAAAUUCAUAAAAAUAUCGAAAGGAACAAAUGUUCAUUCAAGGGUUUAAUUGAACAACCAUCGCAUUAAUUGCAAAGGCCAAAAUAAUUCCUUGAAGGUGUCACGAGUAUGCAAAUGAUGAAAUUAAAAGUAAAGAAAAUAAAUUAAAUUAUAUACAUAGUUAUAAGUGAUCAAAGAAAAAGGAAAUGCAGCAUAAUGGGUACGGGAGACAAAAACUCGUGACAUAAUUUUCUUAUACAAGGAUUAAUGGGGUAUUUAAACUAAAGAGUUAUAAUCACCCAUAUCCAUGUUCAAAAAUAAUUCUCCUAAUAUGAACAAGCAAAUGAACUAACUUAUUUCACAAUUUCUUAAAUGAAGUGCAAUUCUAAAUGAUUUGAUUAACACGUAUAGAGGGUAGGGGGUAGAGGAUAAUAGAUAAUAGGGAAUAUCAUGCAAAUGAGAAAAGAUCCUAAAAAUAAAAAAUAUGCAUGAGAAAGUAAUGAAUAUCACACAAAAUGAAUUUAAUGCAUGAACAAACUAAGGGUCUAGCGUUGGACUAACCCAUUUCUAAAAGCCCUUACUAGCAUUGGACUAGCAAGUAAACGGAAUGAGAAGCCACAACUAGCGUUGGACUAGUGUGGUGACGUUAUGCAUUAACAAUACAUAGUAAAAUAAAUAAUACGUAAAUUAAAACAAAUAAACAUGUAAGAGCACGUAGCACAUAACAUGUGAGCAUAAUAUCUAGAUGCAAAUAUCCUAAAGAAGCAAGUAAACACGUAAUCACACAAGCAUGCAAUCGCACAAACAAAUAAAAAACAAAUAGAGACUUAACUAUUACAUUCGGGGCCCUAACUACAAUCUAAAGGGGUAAAGAAUAAAAAAAAAAUAAUAAUAAUAAUAAUCUAACUAUUACAAUUUGACAUUUAAAUACCUCUCAAAUAAUCAAAAAUUAAAUUAAAUUAAAUUAAAUUAAUAAAAUUAAAAACGAAUAAUAAUAAUAAAUAAAAGAAAAAAAACACUCAAAACAUGUAAUUACACAUAAAACACGUUGGAGCACAUAAGAGAAUUUAAAAUAAAACAAGAAGAUACCUCCCUUGAAGUAGUAGCUAAUUGGGUUUGGUUUUACCUAUUUAACUCCAAAAUUAACAAAAUCAUCAAGGCACCAAUUUAAUCAACAAAUAAAUCAUAACAAGUGGAAAUAAACAUGAAAUCAAUCAAUUGAAACACUUAAAUGAAGUGUAAUCAAUGAUUCUAGGAGAAAAGCAACUUCUAUUUAAGCAAUCAAAUCUAUUAGGGAUCUAAUUGCAAAAAUAAACAAAGUUUUGGGGUCAAAUUAAAGAAAAAUAAAGUUAAGGGACCUAUUUGCAAUUAAAAUAGGGACAUAACUGAAAGAAAUCAAAGGCCUUAGGGUCACAGUAUACUUAAUGAAAAGUACAGGGACCAUCCUACAAAUUCGUUGACCAAAUACUUGACUAAACAGGCCGUUGGGCCAUUUUUCUUAUUUGUUUGGGCCGAAAGCUUCCUAGCCCAACUGAAACCCAAAGGAAAAUAAAUGGCCCAGCCCAUCUCUUUUGUCAAACAAACCCAGCUGAAAUACAUGGGCUUCAACUCCCAAGCCCAUCCGUAAAACCCAAAAAAAAGAACCAAAACCCAAGUCAAAAUCCAACUAAAAAACAAACGCAAGCCCACUAAAAUAAAUAACCCAACCCACUUUCCUUUUCUUUCUUCUCUUUUCUUUCUUUUCUUUCUCUUUUCUUCCCCAUACGUUUCCUUUCCUUCUUCUUCGGCCAACCGAAGAAGCUUCAGCUGGCAGCCAUGGUGGCCGCCGGUGGCGCCGCCGCCACCGGACCGCCGCCGCCGAUGACCUCUCCGGUCACCAAAAAUCCUCAAAAUACACCUCCCCACUCGAUUUUUCGCGUAGGUUCCAUUUUCGGAGUUUGUUUUUACAAAAGAUGAUCUGAAAGUGGCCAAAAUGUCAAAAUACAGUCCAGUUUUUAUUUUUAAAACACCCAAAUCUUUCACCAAAAAUCAUAAAAAAUAUAUUACAAUACUCCUUACAACUUCUGCAAUACAACUAUGAUUUAAUCCGGCAAGAAAACAACAUAAAAAACUAAAAUAAAUCAAAACAGUCCCCAAAAUUCAUUUUUUGUUAUUUUUGCAUUUUCACAAGCAAUUAACAUGCAUUCACAGAAAUCAUUUUUUUUUAUGUUUAUUCAUGGAUUCCCCAAAAAUUCAACAAUAUCAGUAACAACAACAAACGAAGCCAAGGGACAAACAAACAUCAAAUCAUGUAUUUAAUUUAAUAAAUUAAGGAAAGGAAAAAACUGAAAAAGAUGAAAGAAGAAUAAAUACCUCAAUGAAAAUUGUAGUCUCUUGACAAAAUUUGAUGAAAUUACAAGCUCCAAUAAUUUUUAUUGGCUUUGCCCUGUCCAAGAGAAAAUCUGAGAGUGAGUAUUUUAUUUUGCUAAAAAUGAGGGAGAGAAUCUGAGAGAGAGCCGAAAGAUUUUUCUUCCCUUCUGCACCGGAGGCCUGAGAGAGGGAGCAAAUGAGGGAGGUCUAUGGCAAUUUUUCUUCUUCUGCUUCUUUUGCUUUCUUUGCGGCCAAAGGACCUCGAGAGUUAGUCCCCGAGAGAGUUUUCUUUUCUUCUCUCUUUUGUCCGUUGCUCUCCCGAGAGAAAUGAGGAUUCCGUCGUCUCCCAAAUGAGU
rnacentral:lncRNA from 1 species